ACCGUAGGAGGCAAUCGUUAUCCGGAGUGAAUGGGCGUAAAGAGCGUGUAGGCGGUUGAGUAAGGUGCGUGUGAAAGCGCCCGGCUAAACUGGGCGAGGACAGGCAAGACUGCUGAGCUAGAGGCCGAUAGAGGGGUGCGGAAUUCCGGGUGUAGCGGUGAAAUGUGUAGAGAUCCGGAGGAACACCAGUGGUGCAGACGGCGCCCAGGAUCGGACCUGACGCUGAGACGCGAAAGCGUGGGGAGUGAACGGG
rnacentral:rRNA from 1 species